CCCUUAGAUGUCCUGGGCCGCACGCGCGUUACACUGAUGCAUUCAACGAGCUUAUAACCUUGGCCGAGAGGCCUGGGCAAUCUUGUUAACGUGCAUCGUGAUAGGGAUAGAUUAUUGAAAUUAUUAAUCUUGAACGAGGAAUUCCUAGUAAACGCAGAUCAUCAAUCUGCAUUGAUUACGUCCCUGCCCUUUGUACACACCGCCCGUCGCACCUACCGAUUGGAUGAUCCGAUGAAUAUCAUGGAUUGAGGAUGCAAGUAGGUUCGCCUAUCUUCAUCUUCGAGAAGUGAAGUAAAUCUUAUCAUUUAGAGGAAGGAGAAGUCGUAACA
rnacentral:rRNA from 1 species